CUUUAGGUGCUGGAAUACAUGUGCAGAUAAUGCAGGGUUUUUGCAUAGGAACCCAUGGCACCUGCCGUUGUUUGGGCAGAUUGUGAGCCCAUAGCUCACCUGGACUACUUCAAAUCCGGCCGGAAUCUUUUGGGAAAUGGAUUCCUCCAUUUCCUGCAGAAGGACUACAGUGACAUAUUUAAGGCAGAUGCUGCUCUCCUUCAACCUUGCAGGAGGUCUGUGGGCGGUCAGGGUAGCUGUGAAGACUUUCAGUCAGGUGCUGAUCUCCUUCAACCCUGGGACAGGGUUAGGGAGGGAGGCGGUGAGAGCCACCAGGUCACUGACAGGCACUUUGAACCUUCAGAAUGUGUGGAACUGCCAUAUGGGAAAAUGUUAGUUACACUUGAUACAUGGUCUAUGAUGGGAGGCUCUCAAAGUCUCUGAGGUUUCUGAGGUUGAGAUUUCCUGCCCCCUAUAAAAUCCAAGAACUGUAUCUUUGAUGGUCCUGAGUGAAGCUUUGAGGGCAUCAGAAAAUAGGAAGCCACCCUCCACUGGUAGGUGGCCUAGGCUGCUCUGCCCAUCACCCAUCACCAUGGUGGCUCAUGAGAACAGCACUGUGGGUGGCUUUCAGAUUUGCUCCUGGGGUAACCAUGGUACUAGCCAGGUUAGACCAUUACAAUCAAAUAGUGGGUAUGUUUUCCAUAAUUAACAUAAGAAAAAAUAACAUAACCCACUAGAUAGACUUUUCCCAGGUAAAAUUUUUCUGCCAUAAACUUUCCUUUAAUCUCUGGUGCCUACCUCAACCUAUCUGCCACUGUGCCCUAUGGAUAAAACAAAUGAGCAGGGAGCAAAUGAAGAGUAGCGGCCAAACCCAGGAGGGAAGGAGCAUGCUAAGUUCAAGAGCUGGUGCUUUCCUGGAUCUGCAGAGAGAAGUGGGCUGAAAAGGAGGAGUGGUUAAGGAAACCUACUCAGCUGUGCUUACAUGUGACAUUUGGAAAGAAUGACUUCUGAAACCUGCAGUCCUGCCCCUGGCCGGCUGCCUCCUUUUCUCCCUGCGUUUGUAGGCUGCCCACUCCACCCUGGGCACAUGCCAAGAUGCCUUGUGCCACCUUGGACCCUGCUUCAACUCAGGGGCUGUAUGCUGCAAGCAGAGGCUUUGAGACCAGCUUCUACAUGGCGGGGGAUGGAAGGUUCUCUGCACUGACCCUGGAGAAUAAUUUCUGCAUGCGGCCCUGCAGGAGACAGGCUUGGAGUUUGAGAAGCUGGAGAAGGCUCAACAGACAGCUGAGAGCCACUUCCACAACUGCUCAGAUGACCCGGGGAUGUUCUCUGUGGACCAGCGAAGAGACUGGUGCAGCGGGCUCGGGAGGAGCUGGGGGCACACGGGGGCAGGAUUUUCAGCCGCCAUUCUGCUACCUCAUUUGCUUUCCUCCCCAUUUAGUCAGUUAUAUUUAGAACCCUUACCAGCAAAUGCUUUUAGAGUCUUAUUAUACAUGAUUGCCAGGUAAAUAAGAAUGUUGAUCUCAAACAGAGGGGUUUAUAAUAUGCUCCACUAAUGGCCCAGGGAGGAGGAGAAAGAACUGGACCAGAGAAAUAAAGCUGUGCUUCUUCUCAUUUCAAGGGCUCUACAGGAUUGCAUAGAGAAGAGUGGGGAGCCCCCCCAUGAUCUCCUAGCUUAGGCAAUUUGUCACCACACAAUUUCUGAGCCCAUUCAGCACCUCCGUCUAAUACUGCAGCCCCACCCCAUGAAAUGAGAAGAGCACAGGUGUCCGCAUCAAGAGAUAUGGAUUUUCCUCUUUGGCUCUCUGACUUAUUUGCUCUGUGACCUUUAGUGGGUUAUUAACAUCUCAGAGCCUCAGUUUCUCAUCUCGA